rnacentral:rRNA from 1 species
CAAUAGCGUAUAUUAAAGUUGUUGCGGUUAAAAAGCUCGUAGUUGGAUUUCUGCUGAGGAUGACCGGUCCGCCCUCCGGGUGAGUAUCUGGCUCAGCCUUGGCAUCUUCCUGAAGAACGUAACUGCACUUGACUGUGUGGUGCGGUAUUUAGGACAUUUACUUUGAGGAAAUUAGAGUGUUUCAAGCAAGCGCACGCCUUGAAUACAUUAGCAUGGAAUAAUAAGAUAGGACCUCGGUUCUAUUUUGUUGGUUUCUAGAGCUGAGGUAAUGAUUGAUAGGGAUAGUUGGGGGCAUUCGUAUUUAACUGUCAGAGGUGAAAUUCUUGGAUUUGUUAAAGACGGACUACUGCGAAGGCAUUUGCCAAGGAUGUUUUCAUUGA